rnacentral:rRNA from 1 species
AUUCGAUUAGAGUUUGAUCAUGGCUCAGAACGUACGCUGGCGGCACGCCUAACACAUGCAAGUCGAACGCAGUAGCAAUACUGAGUGGCAAACGGGUGAGUAUAAUGUGGGAAUCUGCCUUUUGGUUUGGAAUAACACGGGGAAACUUGUGCUAAUACCGAAUAAGCCCUUACGGGGAAAGUUUUAACGCCGAAAGAUGAGCCUGCACUUGAUUAGCUAGUUGGUAAGGUAAAAGCUUACCAAGGCAACGAUCAAUAGCUGUUCUUAGAGGAAGACCAGCCACAUUGGGACUGAGACACGGCCCAGACUCCUACGGGAGGCAGCAGUGGGGAAUCUUGCACAAUGGGGGAAACCCUGAUGCAGCGAUGCCGCGUGAGUGAAGAAGGCCCUUGGGUUGUAAAACUCUUUCGUCGGGGAAGAAAAUGACUGUACCCGAAUAAGAAGGUCCGGCUAACUUCGUGCCAGCAGCCGCGGUAAUACGAAGGGACCUAGCGUAGUUCGGAAUUACUGGGCUUAAAGAGCUCGUAGGUGGUUAAAAAAGUUGAUGGUGAAAUCCCAAGGCUCAACCUUGGAACUGCCAUCAAAACUUUUUAGCUAGAAUGUGAUAGAGGUAAGUGGAAUUUCUAGUGUAGAGGUGAAAUUCGUAGAUAUUAGAAAGAACACCAAAUGCGAAGGCAACUUACUGGGUCACUACUGACACUGAGGAGCGAAAGCAUGGGUAGCGAAGAGGAUUAGAUACCCUCGUAGUCCAUGCCGUAAACGAUGUGUGCUAGACGUUGGAAAUAUAUUUUUCAGUGUCGCAGCGAAAGCAUUAAGCACACCGCCUGGGGAGUACGACCGCAAGGUUAAAACUCAAAUGAAUUGACGGGGACCCGCACAAGCAGUGGAGCAUGUGGUUUAAUUCGAAGAUACGCGCAGAACCUUACCAACACUUGACAUGUGGAGUUUGGUUAUCAGAGAUGAUUUCCUUCAGUUCGGCUGGCUCCAACACAGGUGCUGCAUGGCUGUCGUCAGCUCGUGUCGUGAGAUGUUGGGUUAAGUCCCGCAACGAGCGCAACCCUCAUCUUUAGUUGCCAUCAGUUCGGCUGGGCACUCUAGAGAAACUGCCUGGGAUGACCAGGAGGAAGGCGAGGAUGACGUCAAGUCCUCAUGGCCCUUAUGGGCUGGGCUACACACGUGCUACAAUGGCGGUGACAAAGGGAUGCAAUAGGGCAACCUGGAGCAAAUCCCAAAAAGCCGUCUCAGUUCGGAUUGUUCUCUGCAACUCGAGAGCAUGAAGUUGGAAUCGCUAGUAAUCGUAGAUCAGCAUGCUACGGUGAAUACGUUCCCGGGCCUUGUAGACAC